UUGAAUUUGAAAUUGGUGGAUAUCUGACCGUCGGAUCGUAAUGAAAUUUUAGUAUGUGGUUCUACAAACAUAAUGUGGACUUUGGGAAGUUACAGAUCAAGAAUCUAAUUGGCGGAUCUUCCGGUUUAGAUUUCUAGGGUUGUGGACCCUACUCUCGACCAUGAUCGAUGGUUGACUUUUUAGUCAACUAGCUUGAGUUCUUCUAGCGUGCUAUUGAUCUUAGAGUGUGGUUGAGAUGUUAUGGAGCUUGAUGGGCUCAUCGUGAUGACGUGUGUCCUUGAUUGACGUGCACCUCGAUUUACGUAUUAAUGACAUUAUAUUGUUAUAUGCUUGUUUAUUUUAUGUGAUUUGACGUGUGUAUUGAAAUGUUCUUCAAAUUGAGGGCUAGUAGGAGACCAUGACCCUACUUGGUUAAUCCGCGAUGAGGGGUCACUAGUAGUCUCGCUUGGUUAAUCCGCUAUAGGGAACCAUAUUAUUUAUGGAUCGUGCUUGGUUAAUCAGCGAUAGGCGAUCCUUAUGGCUAUACAUACUUAGGAGUGAUCAUGUUUGGUUAAUCUGCGAUGGGUGAUCACUACCUAACAGUUCCGUAGGUGUGACUCUGCUUGGUUAAU
rnacentral:lncRNA from 1 species